GACGAACGCUGGCGGCGUGCUUAACACAUGCAAGUCGAACGGUAAGGCCCUUUCCGGGGUACACGAGUGUCGAACGGGGGCGUAACACGUGGGUGAUCUUCCCUUCACUUUGGGAUAAGCCUGGGAAACUGGGUCUAAUACUGGAUAGGACUACGCGAUGCAUGUCGUGUGGUGGAAAGCGUUUGCGGUGUUGGAUGUGCCCGCGGCCUAUCUGCUUGUUGGUUGAGUGAUUGCCUACCAAGGCGACGACGGAUAGCCGGCCUGAGAAGGUGUCCGGCCACAAUGGGACUGCGAGACGGAGCAGAAGCGUACGGGCGGCAGCAGUGGGGAGUAUUGCACAAUGGGGGCAAGCCUGAUGCAGAGACGCCGCGUGGGGGAUGACGGCCUUCGGGUUAUAAACCACUUUCAGCACAGACGAAGAGUAAGUGACGGUAUGUGCAGAAGAAGCACCGGCUAACUACGUG
rnacentral:rRNA from 1 species